AAAUUUGAGGGUGACCUGGCUGUGACAAGCCACCCUACUGAUUCCCAAUGUUUUUUCAACCAAUCUUACUGGCUUGCUGGGUGUCCCCUUUCCCCUCCACACUUUGUCCUUCUUGAAGCAGAAUGCUUGGUCAAAAAAGACACUUAAAAAAUAUUAUAGAACUUUCUGUGUUGAUUUCUAUGUUGAUUUCUGUUUAGGGAAAUAUCAAAACUCUGGUUUAUCAGAAUUUAUAACUGGCACUUGGAAAUGAAUAAUAGGAACAAGAAAUCAUUUUCUUUAAAGUUCCUAAAAAAAAACCAAACACAUCUCUUUCUGGACCACCCCCCAAAUCUGUCCCCAUCAGGCUAG
rnacentral:snRNA from 1 species